UCCCCCUUGACGUUAUUGAGCCCCCUACUCCAUACGGGUCUUUUUCCAGUCAGAAGCAUUGCUGAGGGCGCUGCUAGGCCCAGGCGCUGUCAAUGCACCAGUGACUUCACACAGGGAAGGAACCCAGAGUGGUAAGAUAGCGCUGUUCUUCUGUCGAACCUGCAUAGAUAAGAAAAUAAACCCUGCAAAGCAAGAUGUGAAGAUGUUAUCCAAACUCCCGAAGUUUGUUCACCCUCAUCACAGCUUCCAGACACCAAUUCAGGACCUGGACAGCCUCCUUAGCACCAGGUGGAAAGGAGUAAUAGAGUUGAACAUAAUCUGCAUACAGAUGGCAUUGAAAUCCAAAAUUCUGGACAAUCUCUCCCAGUGGCUUCACAUAGAUGUUAAACAACACAGAGGACAAUACUGAACCCUGCAGGACCCCACAGGAAAAGAGCGAUGGGACCAAGCAAGUAUCCCUCAACAAGACCUUCUGGUACCGACCCUCCAAGAAGGACUGGAGUAUCUCCAAGUCCCUUUCCCAUGAGGCACUCCAAAAGGAUGCCAUGGUCUACGGAAUCAAAAGCCACUGAGAGGUCCAAGAGAACCAACAGGGACACACUCGCCCUGUCCAGUUGCCUGCGUAGAUCAUCCACUAAGGAGGCCAACAUACAGACAAAUAGACACUAAUCACUAUCCUAAAACUUCUCUAACAGUUAACUAGAAUAAAUUAAAACACAAUAAAGCUUGAUUAAAAAAUA